rnacentral:misc_RNA from 1 species
GAUGAAGAACGUAGUGAAAUGCGAUAAGUAAUGUGAAUUGCAGAAUUCAGUGAAUCAUCGAAUCUUUGAACGCACCUUGCACCCUUUGGCAUUCUGAAGGGUAUGCUCGUUUGAGUGUCAUUGUACUCUCACACUCCCGAUCUUUGCAUUGGGAGCAGUGGACUUGGGUUUGCUGCUUCACCGUCGCUUACCUCAAAUAGGUUAGUGCAACUCUUGGUUGGACAUAGUACGGCGUGAUAAGUGUUCUUCGCCGGUGCCUCGCAAAGAGGGUGGCCGAUCGGGAUGUUGUGCUCCAAACCGUCUUCGGACAAUCUCUGACGACUUGACCUCAAAUCGAGUAAGACUACCCGCUGAACUUAAGCAUAUCAAUAAGCGGAGGA